rnacentral:rRNA from 1 species
CAGUAGCCGCGGGAAUACGUAGGGUGCAAGCGUUAAUCGGAAUUACUGGGCGUAAAGCGUGCGCAGGCGGUUAUAUAAGACAGAUGUGAAAUCCCCGGGCUCAACCUGGGAACUGCAUUUGUGACUGUAUAGCUAGAGUACGGCAGAGGGGGAUGGAAUUCCGCGUGUAGCAGUGAAAUGCGUAGAUAUGCGGAGGAACACCGAUGGCGAAGGCAAUCCCCUGGGCCUGUACUGACGCUCAUGCACGAAAGCGUGGGGAGCAAACAGGAUUAGAGACCCCCGUAGUCCCUGUCUCUUAUAA